UAUCGUCUUAGUAUUGAUGAGUAGGUGUAGUGUAGUAUGCUUGCGGUGACUCUGUGGGCAUUUUACCCGCGAUUCUGCACGUCUCCGUUUGAAGAGGGAGGCUGUGCCCACCGUGGCUCUUCCACGAUUUAGAUGCAGCCCACCGACUCUGCUCCCCCACCACGGCGGGCUCCAGUCUGAGGCUAAAUCUACCCAAGACACUGGCUGUCAGACUGAUUUAGCUGCAAGAAUGCACUUGUCCAGGCUGACGUGAAACCUUCCCUGUAGCAAAGCCAGCCAGAAUGGAGUUCACAGCCGCAGUGUGUCUGGUGACCCACGGGGACCAUGAUGAAAAUUCAUCUUCCAGAAGGUCCCAGAGCAGCGUCCACACCCCCUGAAAAGACCAAGAUGUAAGGUGUCUGCUGUUGAUUCCAGCUUCCACCUCAGUGACAGUGCAAGCUGCUGUUAUAGAAUAUUAA